UACGUAGGGUGCGAGCAUUGUCCGGAAUUAUUGGGCGUAAAGAGCUCGUAGGCGGCUUGUCGCGUCGGAUGUGAAAGCCCGGGGCUCAACUCCGGGUCUGCAUUCGAUACGGGCAGGCUAGAGUUCGGUAGGGGAGAUCGGAAUUCCUGGUGUAGCGGUGAAAUGCGCAGAUAUCAGGAGGAACACCGGUGGCGAAGGCGGAUCUCUGGGCCGAUACUGACGCUGAGGAGCGAAAGCGUGGGGAGCGAACAGG
rnacentral:rRNA from 1 species